CCUACGGGAGGCAGCAGUGAGGAAUAUUGGUCAAUGGGCGCGAGCCUGAACCAGCAAAGUAGCGUGAAGGAUGACUGCUCUAUGGGUUGUAAACUUCUUUUAUAAGGGAAUAAAGUGAUCCACGUGUGGCUUUUUGUAUGUACCUUAUGAAUAAGGAUCGGCUAACUACGUGCCAGCAGCCGCGGUAAUACGGAGGAUCCGAGCGUUAUCCGGAUUUAUUGGGUUUAAAGGGAGCGUAGAUGGAUUGUUAAGUCCGUUGUGAAAGUUCGCGGCUCAACCGUAAAAUUGCAGUUGAUACUGGCAGUCUUGAGUACAGUAGAGGUAGGCGGAAUUCGUGGUGUAGCGGUGAAAUGCUUAGAUAUUACGAAGAACUCCGAUUGCGAAGGCAGCUUACUGGACUGCAACUGACAGUGAGGCUCGAAAGUGUGGGUAUCAAACAGGAUUAGAUACCCCUGUAGUC
rnacentral:rRNA from 1 species